rnacentral:lncRNA from 1 species
AUAUAAGGAGGGAAGCGCAGACCAUGAGUUUGAUAGAUCACCCCAACGUUAUAAAGUCGUUUUGUUCGUUUGCUGUUGACCAUCACCUCUGGGUCGUCAUGCCGUUCAUGGCCCAGGGCUCUUGCUUGCACCUCAUGAAGGCAGCAUAUCCAGAUGGGUUUGAAGAGUCUGCUAUAUGUUCUAUGUUGAAAGAAACACUUAAAGCUCUUGAUUAUCUUCAUAGACAAGGGCAUAUUCACCGGGAUGUUAAGGUCAGCUUAGCUUUGCUUGAAAUUGUUUCACACUAUGUAUUGAAAACCCCUCUUCAUGAUAGGCUGGAAACAUACUUCUUGACAACACUGGGGAGGUUAAGCUAGGUGAUUUUGGUGUCUCUGCGUGCUUGUUUGACAGUGGAGAUAGGCAACGUGCAAGAAACACAUUUGUUGGUACCCCAUGCUGGUUGGUUAUUGUAGCUUUCUUCAGUUUGGUCUCAUUAACCUUCUCUCUACUCGAUGAUUGAACAAGUAAUAUCUUGUUUCUGUUUGUAGGAUGGCUCCCGAAGUCUUGCAGCCAGGAAGUGGAUACAAUUCCAAGUGAGUAUUUAUUUACCUCUAAAAAUACAAUACUUUGAUUUUAGUUUUAUCCAGAUAGUGUUGCGAUUGUUUCAGACCCAAAUCGACUAUCAUUUCUCAAAUAUAUAUAUAUGUAAAGAUCUUUAGAAACUGUUUUGCAUCAAAGAAUUGAAAAUAAAAGCUUUUGGUUGGUUUGGUCUUCUUCUGUAUCUUCCUGACAGGGCUGAUAUCUGGUCUUUUGGAAUAACUGCUCUGGAGUUGGCUCAUGGUCAUGCACCUUUCUCCAAAUAUCCCCCCAUGAAGGUAUUCAAUACGUUUCAUAUGUGUUUUGAGAACAGAUCUUAUUCCUUUUUCCCCCGUUAACAGGUACUAUUAAUGACUAUUCAAAAUGCGCCGCCUGGCCUUGAUUAUGACCGUGACAAAAAGUUCUCAAAGGUACUUCUUGUGUUCUUUCUAGAUAGAUUCUUAUGUUAUCUUCCGUUUGCAAGACUUUGCUCUAAUUAAAAUAUGUUUAGCUGUGACCAGUCCUUUAAAGAGAUGGUAGCAUUGUGUCUGGUGAAAGAUCAAACAAAAAGGCCAACCGCUGAAAAGUUGUUGAAACACUCAUUUUUCAAGAACGCAAAGCCUCCAGAGAUUUGUGUCAAAAAGUUGUUUGCUGAUUUGCCACCUCUCUGGACACGAGUAAAAACUCUUGAGGUUCGGCAUGCUUUUAUCUUCUUCAAGCUUGUUGUUCUCUUCCUGUUCGACUCUGAUUGAUAAGAGUUGUCUAAUGACAGGCCAAGGACGCUGCACAGCUUGCUUUGAAAGGAAUUGCCUCUGCUGACCAGGAAGCUAUAUCACAGGUGACAACAGUUUGAAAUUUUUUAUGACUCAAGAGUCGAAAAUUGCAACAAUGCUUCUAAAAAGAGUUACUUUUUCAUGUCAGAGUGAAUACCAAAGAGGAGUAAGUGCGUGGAAUUUCAAUGUUGAAGAUUUGAAAGAACAAGCAUCUUUGGUAAGCUAUGUUUUGAUUAUAUCUAGUAUGACCAAUGGUUUCCAUCAGUUAAUCAUGUGGUUACAUUCUUGUUUUGUGUGCAAAUUGGUGGUAAGAAGAUGUGGAGCGGUGGGGAGAAGAAAGGUUUCUCUGUGAACCCUAAAGACUAUAAGCUAAUGGAAGAAGUUGGGUAUGGUGCUAGUGCUGUUGUCCAUCGAGCAAUUUAUCUUCCUACCAAACAAGUCGUCGCUAUCAAGUGUUUGGAUCUCGAUCGCUGCAACUCCAAUCUGGUCCGUCUCUUACCGAUCUCGUUAUGCCUUCAGCUGCUUCGUAUUGUGAUCUGUUUGUUUUGGUUUUUUCAAUAGGAUGAUAUAAGGAGGGAAGCGCAGACCAUGAGUUUGAUAGAUCACCCCAACGUUAUAAAGUCGUUUUGUUCGUUUGCUGUUGACCAUCACCUCUGGGUCGUCAUGCCGUUCAUGGCCCAGGGCUCUUGCUUGCACCUCAUGAAGGCAGCAUAUCCAGAUGGGUUUGAAGAGUCUGCUAUAUGUUCUAUGUUGAAAGAAACACUUAAAGCUCUUGAUUAUCUUCAUAGACAAGGGCAUAUUCACCGGGAUGUUAAGG